CCUACGGGAGGCAGCAGUGAGGAAUAUUGGUCAAUGGGCGUAAGCCUGAACCAGCCAAGUCGCGUGAGGGAAGAAGGUUCUAUGGAUCGUAAACCUCUUUUGUCGGGGAACAAAGUGUGUGACGUGUCCCGUUUUGUAUGUACCCUAUGAAAAAGGAUCGGCAAACACCGGGCCAGCAGCCGCGGUAAUACGGAGGAUCCGAGCGUUAUCCGGAUUUAUUGGGUUUAAAGGGUGCGCAGGCGGAGUUGUAAGGCAGCGGUAAAAGUGUGGGGCUAAACCCUGUACGGCCGUUGAAACUGGGUGCCUUGAGUGUGUUAGAGGCAGGCGGAAUGCGUGGUGUAGCGGUGAAAUGCAUAGAUAUCACGCAGAACCCCGAUUGCGAAGGCAGCCUGCCGGGGCAUGACUGACGCUGAUGCACGAAAGCGUGGGGAUCGAACAGGAUUAGAUACCCUUGUAGUC
rnacentral:rRNA from 1 species